rnacentral:SRP_RNA from 1 species
CCGUGCUAGGUGGGGUACUAGGGGUGCCCUGAAUCCGAAAACCUCUUCAUGCGGAGCUGAAAUCCCCGCCUGAGGGUGCAAGAUCGGUGAGUCAAGCGCUGGUUCGAUUGAUGUUGACAGCGGGGUCCCGAUGCGGCGGAGCGCCGUGAACCGGGUCAGGUCCGGAAGGAAGCAGCCCUAAGCGGUUUGCUCCGGGUGUAUCGGGGUGGCCUCGAACGAGUCAAUCGGCCAGAACGCGUCACCGGUUGAACAUUCGAAGGCGGGGUGCACGG